CCCGCCCUCGGCCCGGGGAGGAGCGGGACAACUCCGAGCUCGAGGGAGUGAGCCCGACCCUGGGCGCGGGUGUAAAUCAGUCACCUUAGUGCUGAGGGGCCGUGGCGAGAGUGCACGCGCAUGGGCGGGUGGGGAGUGGCGCGGGCAGCGAGCACGGCCUGCCUGGAGCGGCCAGGCGGGGAGGGAGCAGGCCGAGUGGAGAGCUGAGGCGGCCGAGGGGCGCGGCCGCUAAGAGGAGACCAAGAGGUGGGGGCUGCACUUGAGGACCAGCGUGCUGAGAUGAUGUUUUCAGUCCCACUUCUCACUACUGAUCUUCCUCGUUCAUCGGUCACUGACUUGGCGCCUCUCUGGGGUUCUGCCCAGAAGAUUUAGCCUUCCUCCUUCGCCUCAGCCCCUCUAACUCAACAAAAAUCCAGUGGGAGGCUUUUCAGCAGGUUUAAUAGACGACAAUGAUCUCUAUCGUUGUUGAUAAAAAUGGUGAUGUUUUGCAUUUCUAUUCUUCAUGAGCCUGGGGAGGAUAAAUAUGGUUAUGAGAAGCCAGAGGAACGCUGGUUACCUAUCCAUACUGUGGAAACCAUCAUGAUUAGUGUCAUUUCUAUGCUGGCAGAUCCUAAUGGAGACUCACCUGCAAAUGUAGAUGCUGCGGCAAGCUUCCUCUGAUUUGGAACAAAAUAAAAACAGGCUGGUCUUCCCUUGUACCUGACACAGGCAAAUUGAGCUGGCCCAGACAGCAGAGCUCUGUAAGGCAUGUUGAUAUUGAUUGCUUCUUUGUCUCAGGGGCUAUAAGAAAUAUAACAGAUCUCAAAGGAAAAACAGUGGCUCUGUCAGCAACCAUGGCACAGGAAGGUCACCUUUUCAUCGUGGUGCUAACAUCCAGCUGGAGUGGCAGUAUUACCAAAAUAAAAUCCUGAAAGGAGAAGCAGAUCAUGCUGACCCAGAAAGUGGAGAUCUGAUUGCUGAGAUUAAAGGCUUGAGCCACCAUGAUUAUCUGUAAUAAAGUGAGGUGUUAGAGCCUGUGGCCUAGUGAAGUGAACAUCGGGGCUGGGCGAGUAUGGACUCAGAGAUGACCAACUCUGUGUGUGUGCUACACUCAGUUCUCUCCUUCCAGCCAGGGAUGAGUCUUAGGCUCACAGAUUUGUGAAUAUGAGCUUGCUUUGUUGCGUCCAACAUAACAUGUUUUCUGAUUAGUUUUUUCCUGCAUGCUUGCUUCCUUGGUGUGGUUUCGCUUUCUAUCUGUGCUGGAUUCCUAACCUGCACUGGGGAAUCAGAAGCAAGGUCAGAGUCAAAGUCUUUUUGAUAAAGAACCAGGAAUACAUACCAGCACAUCUGGGCUGACUGUCCUUCUUCCCAAGGGAUGGAUCAAUCUCAGAGAAGAUGGUCCUUCCUCUUGAUCUACAGGUAGUACCCUAAAUAUGGUGCAGCCCAUUUUCCUUCUUGCACUGUACACUUAAUAAAAUUAAGUAAAUUAAAGAAUGAACUUUCCAGUUAUAUAUUUGUUCAAGCUAGUUAAAUUCAACCUCAAUACCUAUACCUGCCACACACACCUAACUACAUCUCCCAUGUAUGUGUGAGGGGGGUUGCCAUGUCUGUUGGUCUGCAAACUAUUUGAGAAAGCUUGGUGGCCACAGAGGCUAUGAGAAGGGUGUCAGUUGGCCUGGGAAUAGAAGAGCAGCCAGUGCUCUUAAAUUCUGAGCUAUGUCUUUCCAGUGGACAGUUUUCAGCAUGAAAUCAGUCAUAAUUUUAGUGUGAAUAUAUUACAACUCAUUGUCCUUUAAUAUAUGUAAGAAUAACUAGUUUUGAUGAUGGUUCACUUUUCUUAACCUUGAUAGUCAAACUAGGACAGACUUGCACACUACCUAACUAUUGGGGAGAUAAUUGAUGUGGAGAAAAGGAACUUGUCUAGUCAGUAAAGUGUUGCUGUUUUUUUGGGGGGGUUAAUAAUAGAAAUUGUAUUUUGUCUAUAUAUUUUAUUACAAGUUCUUGUUUUGAUUCUCAUUUUAUUUCAAGGGUACUCUCUAGAUCAGUAGAGCCUCCUUACAAGUCACCACAUGUAAAUUGGAUUUACAUCCCUAUCAUCUAGAGGAUAGCAAGCACAGAGAACAGCAAAGACAAAAAAGAAAGGACAAAGAACUCAGAGGGUGACACAUUAAUCACUUUGGGUCAUUUUUUUUCCUGUUUUACCUUGACUCUGACUUCUAACAAAAAGAGAACAUCAAGAAGAAGAAAAUGAAAGAAACAAACGUCUUUGGAGCCCUGGUGUUGUCGUCAAAGUUUUAAAAGACAGAGAGGAGUUGUGAAAAUCAGCUUGCUUAGUGGAAGUCCGCAGUGUUAUAUAAUCAGUACCAUUGUGCUUUAUCUUACAGAAAGUUAAACAUGGCCUGUGGUCACACAGUUACUAAAGAAUUGAACUGUAACCUACAAUUCUUUCUCUCUCUCUCUCUCUCUCUCUCUCU